rnacentral:rRNA from 1 species
UGAGGAAUAUUGGUCAAUGGGCGCAAGCCUGAACCAGCCAUCCCGCGUGAAGGAAGAAGGCGCUAUGCGUCGUAAACUUCUUUUCCGGAGGAAUAAAAUCUUGUACGCGUACAGGACUGAAGGUACUCCGGGAAUAAGCAUCGGCUAACUCCGUGCCAGCAGCCGCGGUAAUACGGAGGAUGCGAGCGUUAUCCGGAUUUAUUGGGUUUAAAGGGUGCGUAGGCGGAAAAAUAAGUCAGUGGUGAAAACCUUCAGCUUAACUGGAGACUUGCCAUUGAUACUGUUAUUCUUGAGUAUGGUUAAGGUAGGCGGAAUGUGUAAUGUAGCGGUGAAAUGCUUAGAUAUUACACAGAACACCAAUUGCGAAGGCAGCUUACUGAGCCAUAACUGACGCUGAUGCACGAAAGCGUGGGGAGCGAACA